UACGGAGGGUGCAAGCGUUACUCGGAAUCACUGGGCGUAAAGCGCGCGCAGGCGGCUAGAUAAGUUGGAAGUGAAAUCCUAUGGCUCAACCAUAGAACUGCUUCCAAAACUGUUUAGCUAGAGUCUGGGAGGGGAAGAUGGAAUUAGUAGUGUAGGGGUAAAAUCCGUAGAGAUUACUAGGAAUACCAAAAGCGAAGGCGAUCUUCUGGAACAGUACUGACGCUGAGGCGCGAAAGCGUGGGGAGCAAACAGGAUUAGAUACCCUGGUAGUCCACGCCCUAAACGAUGAAUGUUAGUCGUCGGGACUCUAGUAGUUUCGGUGAUGCAGUUAACACAUUAAACAUUCCGCCUGGGGAGUACGGUCGCAAGAUUAAAACUCAAAGGAAUAGACGGGGACCCGCACAAGUGGUGGAGCAUGUGGUUUAAUUCGAAGAUACGCGAAGAACCUUACCUAGCCUUGACAUAUUUUAGAACUCCGCAGAGAUGUAGAGGUGCCUUCGGGAGCUAAUAUACAGGUGCUGCACGGCUGUCGUCAGCUCGUGUCGUGAGAUGUUGGGUUAAGUCCCGCAACGAGCGCAACCCUCGUUCUUAGUUACUAACGGUUCGGCCGAGGACUCUAAGAAGACUGCCUUCGUAAGGAGGAGGAAGGUGAGGACGACGUCAAGUCAUCAUGGCCCUUACGGCUAGGGCAACACACGUGCUACAAUGGUUAGGACAAUGAGACGCAAUACCGCGAGGUGGAGCAAAUCUAUAAACCUAAUCUCAGUUCGGAUUGUAGUCUGCAACUCGACUACAUGAAGCUGGAAUCACUAGUAAUCGUAGAUCAGCUAUGCUACGGU
rnacentral:rRNA from 1 species